UCAUUAAGUGGACCGAAUAUAUAUAUAUAUAUAUACCUGUCUUGAGUUUUUGCAUGAGUUUUUAAUCUAUUACUUGAGGCAAUAGAAUUGACACAAUACAUGAUUAUCAGUAGGUUUAAUGCAUGAUAGGGGUACUUCCACGUCUUCUUCUUCCUGCCAGUUUCCCCUAUAACUAUCACCCAUUCUCGCCCAUUCGAUCACACACGACGCAGCUUAACUCUUCACCCAAUUCAUACUAUUCAAACUGCACUUUUAUCAUCCCCAAUCCAAAAACCCAGCAACCGACUAACUUCUUACACCACUGCACUCAAUUUGCAGAUUCUCCCUACAAAAUCCCAGCUGGUCCACUUUAUAGAAGGCUUUAGCAUUGGCUUUACAAGGCAAGAGGAUUUGUGCAUCUUUUAUCUACAGGCUUGUUAUCAAGGUUGAGCGGCAGAUGGUGACGUGCGAAGCUGAGGGAAGGUGUUGCUGUAUUUCCAAAUGAAUGUCAAGAAUAAUUUCCGCUGCCAUAGUAUUCACUAAGAUGGAUAUUAUUUGAGAUUAACUAUUUUAAUAUGAACUCCUGAUGUUAUCGCCUUCCUAGCGAUUAUUCCUCUCAUAUAUUAUUCGCUUAGUACUAAAUGUUAUCUUUUUGUCUCAGACCUCCGAACUUUUGAUCCUGGUUGGGAGAAUUUCUAUCUAAGUUGUCGUAUUUAUCAUCCUUCAA